rnacentral:rRNA from 1 species
AUGGCCAUGGUCAAGAACAUUGCAUGCACAUUGUUCCUUGCUGCCAUUGUGGUGGCAGCCACAUUGGUACCGGCGGCAAGCGCCGCCGGCGACAAAUCCAUUGAAGAGAUGGAUUCAUCCAUCAAGAAGGCCUUUGACGCGGUCAUCGCCGCCGCCCCAGCAUCCAAAAGGUCUGCAGUAGAAUCUUUCGUGCUCAAGCAGAAAGUCGCUGCCACCGCCUCGCUCAAUGAGGCCGCUGGAGAUAAGAAGAAACUUGAUGAAAUUGUCACUGCCUAUAAGAUGGCCUCCGAUGCGGUCCUUGCCGCUAAACCCGCCGACAAAUAUGCCGUAUUUGACAAAACCUUCAGCGAGGCUGGUCAUCCUCCCACCGUGAAGGCCGUCGACGCAUUGGAGAAUUCCUUCAAGGAGGCCAUUGGUGAUGUCGUCGCUGCUGCCCCAGCACCACAACAGGACGAAAUGAAAGCCCUCGUCUUCCAGCAGACCGUCGUCGCUGCCAACAUGCUUGCCCAGUCUGCAAAGGACAAGAAGCUAUUUGCUGCGGUUACCACCGCCUACAAGGUGGCUUCUGAUGCGGUCCUUGCCGCUGCGCCCGCCGACAAGUAUUCCGUAAUGGAAAAAACCUUCGCGGAGGCUGCUGAUGUCAAAGCAGCAUGA